GGAAGUAAAAGCGUAACAAGGUUUCCGUAGGUGAACCUGCGGAAGGAUCAUUCAUAAUAAGUGUUUUAUGGCACUUUUUAAAUCCAUAUCCACCUUGUGUGCAAUGUCAGUUGUUCUCCUUUUUGAGAAUGACCAAACAUCAACUUAAAUUUUAACUCUUUGUCUGAAAAAUAUUAUGAAUAAAAUAAUUCAAAAUACAACUUUCAACAACGGAUCUCUUGGCUCUCGCAUCGAUGAAGAACGCAGCGAAAUGCGAUACGUAAUGUGAAUUGCAGAAUUCAGUGAAUCAUCGAAUCUUUGAACGCAUAUUGCGCUCUUUGGUAUUCCGAAGAGCAUGCUUGUUUGAGUAUCAGUAAACACCUCAAAGACUUCAAUUUGUUUUGAAUGGCUUUGGACUUGAGCAAUCCCAACACCAGUCUUUACGAUCGGUGGAGGGUUGCUUGAAAUGCAGGUGCAGCUGGACAUUCUCCUGAGCUAAAAGCAUAUUUAUUUAGUCCCAUCAAACGGAUUAUUACUUUUGCUGCAGCCAACAUAAAGGGAGUUUGACCGUAUUGGCUGACUGAUGCAGGAUUUCACAAGGGUCGGCAACGAUUCUUGUAAAACUCGAUCUCAAAUCAAGUAAGACUACCCGCUGAACUUAAGCAUAUCAAUAAGCGGAGGA
rnacentral:rRNA from 1 species